CUGGAUUCCCAUCUAGUGGCAGACGGGUGAGUAACACGUGGGUGACCUACCUUUUCGUUGGGGAUAACAGUUGGAAACGAUUGCUAAUACCGAAUAAGAUAUGUGAGUCAAUCAUAUAUUGAAAGGAGCCUUUAAAGCUUCGCGAUUAGAUGGGCCUGCGGCGUAUUAACUAGUUGGUGGGGUAACGGCCUACCAAGGUAACGAUGCGUAGCCGAACUGAGAGGUUGAUCGGCCACACUGGGACUGAGACACGGCCCAGACUCCUACGGGAGACAGCAGUUAGGAAUAUUCGUCAAUGGGGGAAACCCUGAACGAGCAAUGCCGCGUGAGUGAUGAAGGUCUUAUAGAUUGUAAAACUCUGUUGUAUGGAAAAAACGUCUAAGUUAGGAAAUGAUCUUAGAGUGAUGGUACCAUACCAGAAAGCUCCGGCUAACUACGUGCCAGCAGCCGCGGUAAUACGUAGGGAGCGAGCGUUAUCCCGAUUUAUUGGGUUUAAAGGGUGCGUAGGCUGUGCGUCAAGUCAGUGGUGAAAGCCCGGGGCUCAACUCCGGAACUGCCAUUGAUACUGUCGCGCUGGAAUACGGAUGCCGUGGGAGGAAUGAGUAGUGUAGCGGUGAAAUGCAUAGAUAUUACUCAGAACACCGAUUGCGAAGGCAUCUCACGAAUCCGUUAUUGACGCUGAGGCACGAAAGCGUGGGGAUCAAACAGGAUUAGAUACCCUGGUAGUCCACGCAGUAAACGAUGAUAACUAACCGUCGGCGAUAUACAGUCGGUGGCCAAGCGAAAGCGAUAAGUUAUCCACCUGGGGAGUACGACCGCAAGGUUGAAACUCAAAGGAAUUGACGGGGGCCCGCACAAGCGGAGGAACAUGUGGUUUAAUUCGAUGAUACGCGAGGAACCUUACCCGGGCUCGAACGGCUAGUGAACGACACAGAGAUGUGAAGGUCCUUCGGGACACUAGUCGAGGUGCUGCAUGGUUGUCGUCAGCUCGUGUCGUGAGAUGUUGGCUUAAGUGCCAUAACGAGCGCAACCCUUGUUGAUAGUUACCAUCAAGUAAAGUUGGGGACUCUAUCAAGACUGCCACCGCAAGGUGUGAGGAAGGCGGGGAUGACGUCAAAUCAGCACGGCCCUUACGUCCGGGGCGACACACGUGUUACAAUGGUAGCUACAGAGGGAAGCCACCUGGUGACAGGGAGCAGAUCUCGAAAAGCUAUCUCAGUUCAGAUUGGAGUCUGCAACUCGACUCCAUGAAGCUGGAUUCGCUAGUAAUCGCGCAUCAGCCAUGGCGCGGUGAAUACGUUCCCGGGCCUUGCACUCACCGCCCGUCA
rnacentral:rRNA from 1 species